rnacentral:lncRNA from 7 species
UCUUCAAUGGGAAGUGUUUGAAAUAAUUAUUUGAAGCGCUGUUUAAUUGAAAUGCAUUGUAUCCAAACUAGCUCAGAUGAGCCCAAACUCUUUUUGUGAUGGGCUGCAAAACUCUGGAGUCCUUGGAGGGAAGAAGUCAGGUGGAACUGAGAGAUGAUGAGGCAGUUGCGGGGCCAGGCAGAGGGCAUGCUGUUGGACCGCAGGUACCGUGGAGUCAUUUGUCACCCUCAGGAAGAGCUGGCCUAAAAGAAAAAAGCUUCCAUAACAUGAAGUAGCCCCCCUUCCUCCCUCCCUCUCCAGGUUUGAUCUCACUGUUAUUUGGGGUGGAAGUAUUUUUCUGGUUUUGAAAUUUCUGCCAAAUGACAAGCUCCCAGGACAGGGCAUUUCAGCUCAGUGAGACUGAUGCUCUUGUCACUUUUACUGCUACCUCCAGCACAAACGGACAGAGAUGCCAAUUUCCCUGAGCAGCUGCUGGCGCCUGCCACCAAAUGGGACUCUGGGGGCACCCACCAGUGGAUUGGCCCACAGCUUCCAGCAUCUCCAGCCCGGGGCAGGUGUGCCAGCAGUCAGAAUGACCAAUCUCAGAGGACUGUCUUGGAUUAAGAGGAAGAUGCUUUGACUGGAAAAUUUCAGGCUUCACAGUGUGGUAUUUUCUGACUAAUCUAUAUUUUGACAGCGCUAUCAAACAUUUGUGCAAUAACUCUCAAGAAUUCUCACAAUCUAUGGUCUCACGUUCCCUCUUUUCUUGCACAUCAGAUGGACUCUCCUGAUUGCAUUUAAUAUCCAUCCAGCAUGUGAGCAAAAAAGCUCUUGAAAGUAGGUCUGCUUUUAAGGUCAUGGAGAAAGAACAGUCAAAUCUGACCAGAACUAAGGCAGUUCUUCUACAUUUCAUACUAACUGAAAAUAAUAAUACAAAGAAAUGUUCAUAGAGGAAACCUCAAACCAUCCCAAACUGCUCUUCUAUGAAUGAAUUCAAACACAAAAACUGCCUGCGUGUUGUCUGCAGGAGUUCAAACUUAAGAUGUGUCAACAUGAACACUGUGGCCGCCUCAGCUAUUGUUAGUCCCAUUGCCAGGCACCUAAUAAUUCCAUACUGGAAAAGGUUUGUGCUGUCUCAGCAGGGAAACAGGCAGCCAUGUGGUAGAGGCUAUCCAGUUAUGAGGAGUUUUUUAGGAAACACCGUAAACACGUUUUCCUUCAGGAACCUUUUCUUGAGAGCUAGGAAAUAUAGGCCUCCUUGUCUACACUGGGAAUACUAUUUAAUGAAGACAAUCCUCAAGAAGGAAAGAGUGCCAAACAUCCUGCCCAUGACGAUCCUUGGGGAGAGAAUACAAGAAACAGGGCAAGCCCUGAGGAAUCCUUGCCAUCGCCCAGUGCUGCUGGCUCUGCUUCUGCUGAGGGAGGACCUCUUCUGCCUAGCCUCAGCCCAGUUACCUUUCUUGUGACCCCCUGGAAGGACAAUGACAAGAGAUGAGAUCUUGAGAUGUCACAAGGCCGGCCAAGAAAGGAACCCCUUUUUGGCAUGAAUGCAACAUGAUCAAAAUCAGAAGACGACAGCCUUCUGCAGUGUCAAAGCCCUAUUUCUAGAAAGCAUGUAACUGUUUAAUAGUCUUCUCUCUGUGAGGGAAGCCAUUUUAUCUACAGUUUUCCUUGGGAAACUAGUCCAAAGCCUGAUGUGGCAUCAAGAAAAUCUAAAGGGGUACUGACAGUUCUCAUUGUGCUGAUUUUCAAAUGAAUCCAAUUGCCACUAUUGCUGGUAAAGUCUUUUAAUAUGCGUCUACUGAAGUUUUAUUGACAUGUUUAUGGACUAAUAAGAAAAGAAAAAAAGAAAAAAGAACUCAGGAAGAACAGUUUGCAGGAGCUGAAAUGUUUUAACAAUGGUUUUGUAACUGACUUGCAUUAUUUUUGGUCCUUGGAGAAAGAAACUGUGGAAAAUUC